CCUCCUACGGGAGGCAGCAGUAGGGAAUCUUCCACAAUGGACGAAAGUCUGAUGGAGCAACGCCGCGUGAGUGAAGAAGGGUUUCGGCUCGUAAAGCUCUGUUGGUAGUGAAGAAAGAUAGAGGUAGUAACUGGGCUUUAUUUGACGGUAAUUAAUUAGAAAGUCACGGCUAACUACGUGCCAGCAGCCGCGGUAAUACGGAGGGGGCAAGCGGUAUCCGGAUUUACUGGG
rnacentral:rRNA from 1 species